rnacentral:rRNA from 1 species
UACGAAGGGGGCUAGCGUUGCCCGGAAUCACUGGGCGUAAAGGGCGCGUAGGCGGCCAUUCAAGUCGGAGGUGAAAGCCCAGGGCUCAACCCUGGAAUUGCCUUCGAUACUGUUUGGCUAGAGACCGGAAGAGGUAAGUGGAACUGCGAGUGUAGAGGUGAAAUUCGUAGAUAUUCGCAAGAACACCAGUGGCGAAGGCGGCUUACUGGUCCGGUUCUGACGCUGAGGCGCGAAAGCGUGGGGAGCAAACAGG